GAUGAACGCUAGCGAUAGGCCUAACACAUGCAAGUCGAGGGGCAUCACAUGAAGUAGCAAUACGGAUGGUGGCGACCGGCGCACGGGUGAGUAACACGUAUGCAACCUGCCUUCAACAAGGGGAUAACCCGUUGAAAGACGGACUAAUACCCUAUAACACAGGGGUCCCGCAUGGGGAUAUUUGUUAAAGGACAACCGGUUGAAGAUGGGCAUGCGUUCCAUUAGCUAGUUGGCGGGUAAGGGCCCACCAAGGCAACGAUGGAUAGGGGAACUGAGAGGUUUAUCCCCCACACUGGUACUGAGACACGGACCAGACUCCUACGGGAGGCAGCAGUGAGGAAUAUUGGUCAAUGGACGCAAGUCUGAACCAGCCACGUCGCGUGAAGGAAGACGGCCCUACGGGUUGUAAACUUCUUUUGAAGGGAAUAAAGUGUAGUACGCGUACUAUUUUGCAUGUACCUUACGAAUAAGGAUCGGCUAACUCCGUG
rnacentral:rRNA from 1 species